UGCUCGAGUGGCGAACGGGUGAGUAACACGUGAGUAACCUGCCCUCGACUUUGGGAUAACUUCAGGAAACUGGGGCUAAUACCGGAUAGGAGCUCCUGCUGCAUGGUGGGGGUUGGAAAGUUUCGGCGGUUGGGGAUGGACUCGCGGCUUAUCAGCUUGUUGGUGGGGUAGUGGCUUACCAAGGCUUUGACGGGUAGCCGGCCUGAGAGGGUGACCGGCCACAUUGGGACUGAGAUACGGCCCAG
rnacentral:rRNA from 1 species